rfam:Ascaris lumbricoides genome assembly, scaffold: ALTE_scaffold0000557
GAGCAGUGAUGAUUGCAUGUUGGCACUGACACCUCUUAUGGUAGUACUCACUGUUGUGAGUGCGAUGAUUCAAGCAGUUUUUCUGAGCUC